UCUUCUGCUUUUGUAUCCUUUGUUUUGGUUUUUAAACCAUUUAUUGAUUAUUCAGUAUACAAUAUGAAACCCAGAGAAGAGUAGCCUAAUGAGACACAGCUUUAUUUUCCUUGCAGAUAAUGAGAAAUGGCUUUUCAUCCUGGUGUCAAAACUCCAGCCUUCCACUCCAUCUAAUGUUGGAGAUUAGACCUUAUGGGUAUCAUCUUCAGCCCUUCCAAAAUCUAUAGGCAAUUAUACUAUCUCUGGUUUGGCAGUUUGUCCGCAGUCGCAAGCUUGGCUCCCUAGUUAUUCUGACAUCAAGUU
rnacentral:lncRNA from 1 species